CGCCUGUUUAUCAAAAACAUAGCCCUAAGAAUUUAUUUAGGGUGAAGCCUGCCCAAUGAGUUUUUAAUGGCCGCGGUACUCUGACCGUGCUAAGGUAGCAUAAUCAAUUGACUUUUGAAUGAAGUCUGGAAUGAAGGGAAWAACGGGGCUUAGCUGUCUCUAUUUUUYUAUUUUAAAGUUACUAAUUAGGUGAAAAGGCCUAAAUAAGAUAAUAGACGAGAAGACCCUUAGAGCUUUNUAUAUAUUUUCGUUGGGGCGACGAAGGGUUAARNURAACACCCUUGUUAWYAUAMAAAGGGUUMACCAUARGMAGAUAAGCUACCUGAGGGAUAACAGCAUAAUCUUUUUUAGGUUUGUGACCUCGAUGUUGGACUAGGGAACUUUUAGGUUAGCCGCUUAAAGGAAUAAUUCUGUUCGAAUAUUACCCCCUACGUGAUCUGAGUUCAGACCGGA
rnacentral:rRNA from 1 species